UUUUUUGUUGUAUAUAAAAAUAUCAAAGUUCUUAUUCCUCUAAUAUGUGAGGUAAUAUUUUGCUCUUGACCCGGUGUUAUGAGUUAAAAUGUUAAUUGGUGUUGUUAAUCCCAUUGACGUCAGAAAAAAUUAAUCUUAAUUUAGAUUGGAUAUAUAUCAAUUACUUGUGUUGAGAUUUUUCUGAUUAUUUUGGCUAUUUCUGCUCAAAAUUGUUUAUAUACAUACACACUGGUGUUUACUUUUAAUUUCAUCAUCAACGAAUCUAAAUUGGGAAUGUUUUAAAAUAUUCCAUCAGCUCUUAAACACAUGCUAUGUAUGAAGUAAUCCAUAUGUUUCAAUUAGAAAAAAUCUCCUGUCAAAACAUGGUUUUUAAAUGAUGAGGGUCGGAUUGUAUCUUUGUUUCUGAAACAUCUGGUUAAGCAUGUUUUUCAUUGAAAAGUUUCAAACGUCAUUCGGCUAAUUCUGUGGUAAAAGAUGAUCUCUGACGCAGUCACCGAAUCUUUUUGUGUUUGUAGCGAAAUGACGUUUGCUUCACCCACUCUGAGGUUUUUAUGCUUCGGUAAUUCAAUAUCUUAAUCUCUAGUGAUGGAUUAUAUAAGUCACCUCCUUGAACAAACCGUAAACAACCCAAAAAGUAUAUAAGUAAGAAAAGAGUGUGUAUGCUUUAUAACACUUCAAUGUACCGAGCAAACGUGUAUCUUUUUUGAUACUGUCGCUACAUUUCUAAUCCUGACCGUUUAACCAUUUUUGGUUGCCUUAUAACGAAGCCAAAAUUGGCUGAAUUAUAACAAAAGUAUCCAUGAAGAAAAAAAGAAGCCGCUUUCGAACAACAAUGAGCUUGCUGCAGGAUUUUGUCUACUCUUGCAUUUAAUUGCUUCAAGAAUCCUGAUGUUGGACUCAAAAUAUAAGACAUGACAAGAAGGUCUUGGCUAUUCCAGCUGUGUUAACUCAGCAGAGACCGUGAAAAGAUCUGCAAGAUUUGUUCGUACAAAUAUCGAGCACUUUUCUCCUACGAAAGCCAUAAGAAAAAUGGCCGAUAUAGCAAUGAACUUGACAAUGUCACCUCUGAUGACUAUUCUGUUAAUUCUUUUUAAUGAAAAACAAAUGAAAACAUUUUUCAGGCUUUCGAAAUUGAAGGUGUAUGUAAAUAAAAUUACAAUGUAUAUUGACAAGUGAUCAUUUGUGAUAAAUGAUCUAGUAUAAUAAUAGGAUAUCGUUAAUUUUGUUUUAUAGUUUGACAAUUGUGUUGUACCCAUUUUACAACAAGCUAUAUUUACAUAUUUGUAAAUAUAUAUGGAAGCCAGCAAGUAUAAUACUAAUAGAAUACAUAUAACGGUAAUUAUGACUAGAUUAGAAAUGCGCCUUUAGUAGUUCAGUAGCAAAAUUCAUUCAAAAAAGACAAUGUGUGGUGAAAUAAAUAAUCAUUGCAUAUAUAAUGUAUAUCAACGUAAGAAUUACUUUUAGGUGUUUGAGUAGCUUUCUUUUUUUUAUUUUUCAAAAAUUUACCCCACAAUGUGAUAGAUUUUUUUUGUAUGCCUCCAACUUAUUUAACAUAUUUUCCUGUCAACGUAUCUCGUGGCACUUCAGUGAACUUGUACACACCAAUACAGUAUACUGCUGUUGUGUAAUACUAUCAUGUUUUACUUACUUUUGAUAUUAUGACCAAAUUCAGUGUUACUGAAAUUUUAAAUUUUUAGAUUGCAUGUAUUCCUCAUUAUAAUCGAAGUUUUCAUUGUUAAUCCUUAUUUUCAAGACGCUACUGCAUUGAAGUAAUGCUUCCAUAAACUGCUAUGUUCUUUUUUUAAUAACUAUCUUCAUGUACAUGGUAUUGCAAUUAACACAUGCUUGCUGACGUAUCAAGAAAUUCUUGUUGCUGAAAGAAGUAUAAGAAAUAUAAAAACUUGAAAUUGAAAUGCA